rnacentral:rRNA from 1 species
GAUGAACGCUGGCGGCGUGCCUAAUACAUGCAAGUCGAGCGAACGGACGAGAAGCUUGCUUCUCUGAUGUUAGCGGCGGACGGGUGAGUAACACGUGGAUAACCUACCUAUAAGACUGGGAUAACUUCGGGAAACCGGAGCUAAUACCGGAUAAUAUUUUGAACCGCAUGGUUCAAAAGUGAAAGACGAUCUUGCUGUCACUUAUAGAUGGAUCCGCGCUGCAUUAGCUAGUUGGUAAGGUAACGGCUUACCAAGGCAACGAUGCAUAGCCGACCUGAGAGGGUGAUCGGCCACACUGGAACUGAGACACGGUCCAGACUCCUACGGGAGGCAGCAGUAGGGAAUCUUCCGCAAUGGGCGAAAGCCUGACGGAGUAACGCCGCGUGAGUGAUGAAGGUCUUCGGAUCGUAAAACUCUGUUGUUAGGGAAGAACAUAUGUGUAAGUAACUGUGCACAUCUUGACGGUACCUAAUCAGAAAGCCACGGCUAACUACGUG